UUCCAUCGCUAAGUCAAGGCUUCUUCCUGCGACUCAUGUCGUAUUUUUUCUUCAAUGGAGGUCUGUCUGUUACAGCUUUGGUAGAUCGACAAUGUCCCGCACCAAACUUCUUUCUGAAGCAAGGUUGACUGGUCUUCGUCUUGAAGGCUGGUCGUAAGGGUUCAUACGUGUUUUGUUUAAGAGUUGAGUUCUACUACUGCCUUUCUUGGUGGCUUGAUAGUUGAACUCUUAGUAACAUCCCACACAUUC
rnacentral:snoRNA from 1 species